GCCGCUGCCUGAGUAGGAAGCAGCACGGGACUCGGUGACGCCUGAUGUGGCCUCUGAUAUCGACUGGGAGGUGGAAGAGAAAUUUGGGGAACGCAUCGAGAACCCUGGAAAAUCAACCUUCUCAGGGGGCGGUUCUCUGUGCCCGCGUGAACCUUCACAGUUGGAUGGAACACAGGAUGAAGUUGUUCUCUGAAGGUCCUUUGUCUGCCUGAAGUCUGGAUCCACCAAAAAAGAAAACAAUUACCUCUGGUACCUUCCUCAAGUUUUCAUUAACUGAACUCAUUGCAAGAAGAAAGACAUCUUGGUCCACACACCUGGAUAGACUUUCGUCACAAACCACUGUUUGCUCAUUGGGUCCAACAGAGUUUGUCCCAGGCCAUUGUAUAUUUCAAUUCCAUUGACUUCCCCUGAAAAUCAUUUACUGCCUUCCUAAAUCAUCCACGUUUCCCCAUCUCCCUUUCACUCAAGAAGAGGAUAUGAGACCUUCAGGAAGACCUCCUGACAGUCUUACUGGAUACUCUUGUAACAAGAUACUGUACCCCACUGCGUGGUGAGGAAAUCGCUCUGUGAUUUUCCCCCAUGCACAUUAAUAAAUUUUGUCCGGCAUUUCUCCUA